GUGGGGAAUAUUGGACAAUGGGCGAAAGCCUGAUCCAGCAAUGCCGCGUGAGUGAUGAAGGCCUUAGGGUUGUAAAGCUCUUUUACCCGGGAUGAUAAUGACAGUACCGGGAGAAUAAGCUCCGGCUAACUCCGUGCCAGCAGCCGCGGUAAUACGGAGGGAGCUAGCGUUGUUCGGAAUUACUGGGCGUAAAGCGCACGUAGGCGGCUUUGUAAGUUAGAGGUGAAAGCCUGGAGCUUAACUCCAGAACUGCCUUUAAGACUGCAUCGCUUGAAUCCAGGAGAGGUGAGUGGAAUUCCGAGUGUAGAGGUGAAAUUCGUAGAUAUUCGGAAGAACACCAGUGGCGAAGGCGGCUCACUGGACUGGUAUUGACGCUGAGGUGCGAAAGCGUGGGGAGCAAACAGGAUUAGAUACCCCGGUAGUCC
rnacentral:rRNA from 1 species